ensembl:lncRNA
AUGGAAACGAAAAAAAAAAAUUCAUUAAAACAGUAUGAUGAUAUCAGUUUAGAACUUCUUAUAUGCAAUGUGUUGUUGUCUAAUAUUUCUGAUUAUACAAGAGGGGAAGAAGAUAAACAUGAACAAAUAAAAACUCUUAAUAAAAUAAAUAAUAUUUUUUGUUCGUAUAGUUUUGAAUUAUGCGAUAAUGAAACUGAAAAUAACUUAUAUAAAAAAUUUUAUAAUAUAUGUUAUUUUAAGGAAUAUGAGUUAUUAAGUCAAGUGUUAAAUCAAUUAAUAGACUUGAAUGAAAAUUUUAGUAUAAUUAUAUCUUACAAUGCUUUUGAAUUUUUUCACAUAUGGAAGUUAUUUUACCCAGGUUUUAAAAAAAAAAAAAAAAACGCAUUAUAAAAUGAUAAAAAAAUAUCACCGUAUGCGUAUAUAUGUAUACAAUUUAUAUGUGUUGUAGCACUUUUAUGUACUCAUUUAUUAUUUUCUUUCAAUACAUACACACACAUAUACAUACAUGCAACUGUGUAUAUGUAUACAUAUUUAUCAUGCAUUUUUUCGUAUUAAAUUUAUUAAAUGAAUAUAUUUUCAAUAUUUUUUGCAUAACUUGUAGUUAUAUCGAGCUCAAAUCAUGAUGAGGGCGUGUUUAAUUUAAUUAUGAAUUAUUUGAAACAGUUUUUAAGUUAUAUAAAAAUAAAUAACAUAACAACAAACCA